rnacentral:misc_RNA from 1 species
GUGAAUCAUCGAAUCUUUGAACGCAAAUUGCACUCCCUGGUAUUCCAAAGAGUAUAAAAAAAUGAGAAUCAAUAGAAGAAAAAUAGAAGCAAAGCUCUUUUUUUGAGGGUGAUCGCGGCGGAAUUGAGCCGUCUGUCAAAUGGUAAGUCGGGUCAAAGUGGCUUAAGAUUGAGCCAGCCGGUACGAGGGAGGCGUAUUUAGGGGC